UACGGGGGGGGCAAGCGUUGUUCGGAAUUACUGGGCGUAAAGGGCUCGUAGGCGGCCAACUAAGUCAGACGUGAAAUUCCUGGGCUUAACCUGGGGCUGCAUUUGAUACGUGGUUGCUUGAGUGGGGAAGAGGGUCGUGGAAUUCCCAGUGUAGAGGUGAAAUUCGUAGAUAUUGGGAAGAACACCGGUGGCGAAGGCGGCGACCUGGUCCUUGACUGACGCUGAGGCGCGAAAGCGUGGGGAGCAAACAGG
rnacentral:rRNA from 1 species